rnacentral:rRNA from 1 species
CCUACGGGAGGCAGCAGUAAGGAAUCUUCCGCAAUGGGCGAAAGCCUGACGGAGCAACGCCGCGUGGGCGAUGAAGGCCUUCGGGUCGUAAAGCCCUUUUCUGUGGGACGAUAAUGACGGUACCACAGGAAUAAGCCACGGCUAACUACGUGCCAGCAGCCGCGGUAAUACGUAGGUGGCUAGCGUUAUCCGGAUUCACUGGGCGUAAAGAGCGCGUAGGCGGUGUGCUAAGUUGGACGUGAAAGCCCCCGGCUUAACCGGGGGAGGGCGUCCAAUACUGGUGCACUAGAGGGUGGACGGGGAAAGCGGAAUUCCCGGUGUAGUGGUGAAAUGCGUAGAUAUCGGGAGGAACACCAGAGGCGAAGGCGGCUCUCAAUGCUACCCCUGACGCUGAGGCACGAAAGCUGGGGAAGCAAACGGGAUUAGAUACC